rnacentral:rRNA from 1 species
AAAUUGAAGAGUUUGAUCAUGGCUCAGAUUGAACGCUGGCGGCAGGCCUAACACAUGCAAGUCGAACGGUAACAGGAAGCAGCUUGCUGCUUCGCUGACGAGUGGCGGACGGGUGAGUAAUGUCUGGGAAACUACCUGAUGGAGGGGGAUAACUACUGGAAACGGUGGCUAAUACCGCAUAACGUCGCAAGACCAAAGAGGGGGACCUU